rnacentral:rRNA from 1 species
AGAGCGAACGCUGGCGGCAGGCCUAACACAUGCAAGUCGAACGGACCCUUCGGGGUUAGUGGCGGACGGGUGAGUAACACGUGGGAACGUGCCUUUUGGUUCGGAAUAGCUCCUGGAAACGGGUGGUAAUGCCGAAUGUGCCCUUCGGGGGAAAGAUUUAUCGCCAUUAGAGCGGCCCGCGUCUGAUUAGCUAGUUGGUGAGGUAAUGGCUCACCAAGGCGACGAUCAGUAGCUGGUCUGAGAGGAUGACCAGCCACAUUGGGACUGAGACACGGCCCAAACUCCUACGGGAGGCAGCAGUGGGGAAUCUUGCGCAAUGGGCGAAAGCCUGACGCAGCCAUGCCGCGUGAAUGAUGAAGGUCUUAGGAUUGUAAAAUUCUUUCACCGGGACGAUAAUGACGGUACCCGGAGAAGAAGCCCGGCUAAACUCGUGCCAGCAGCCGC